rnacentral:rRNA from 1 species
CUCUAGAGAUAGAGUUUUCCUUCGGGACAGAGGUGACAGGUGGUGCAUGGUUGUCGUCAGCUCGUGUCGUGAGAUGUUGGGUUAAGUCCCGCAACGAGCGCAACCCCUAUUGUUAGUUGCCAUCAUUCAGUUGGGCACUCUAGCGAGACUGCCGGUAAUAAACCGGAGGAAGGUGGGGAUGACGUCAAAUCAUCAUGCCCCUUAUGACCUGGGCUACACACGUGCUACAAUGGCUGGUACAACGAGUCGCAAGUCGGUGACGGCAAGCUAAUCUCUUAAAGCCAGUCUCAGUUCGGAUUGUAGGCUGCAACUCGCCUACAUGAAGUCGGAAUCGCUAGUAAUCGCGGAUCAGCACGCCGCGGUGAAUACGUUCCCGGGCCUUGUACACACCGCCCGUCACACCACGAGAGUUUGUAACACCCGAAGUCGGUGAGGUAACCAUUUGGAGCCAGCCGCCUAAGGUGGGAUAGAUGAUUGGGGUGAAGUCGUAACAAGGUAGCCGUAUCGGAAGGUGCGGCUGGAUCACCUCCUUU